rnacentral:misc_RNA from 1 species
UUUUUAACUAUCAAAUAUCAACUAUUAUCUAAAUUAAACAAACCCUAGAAAAAUCACAUUUUUUUACAGAUGAAAAUUUAAAUUAUAAAAUUUUUCUUUUUCAUAACAAUGUUGUGUGUCUAUCACCUUAACAAUACACAUUCAAGAAGCACAUCCAAAGAAUGAUUUCUUUCAAUGGUGCUUCACAGAGACAGGAAAAAAUGCAGCAUUCUCCAGCAGAAAAUCUAAAGGAUAUUCCCUGGGUCAGAGCAAAAGAGAAUUGAUACAGAAACCAAAGUCCAACCUGAAAGGACGAUAAAUAUUUAUCUGGAACCCCCCGCAAACAAAAGCCAAGACACCAAAUGCAGGCAUGGAAAAAAUGCAAGAACAAGAAUCCUCUACCCAAGAAGUACAGAACAAGCAUCCAUGAGACAACGAAACAGAAGACAGUAGUUGCAGAACUCGUUAAGAGCUUCGAACAACCUAACAAGUGUCUAUAACGAAUGGAACUCUUGCAUGUUUUUCAUCCAUACGCCGUGUAGAACAUGAUAGUGGCCUAUAUUUCAGUAAAAUCGUAGAUAGCUCGUGGCAGCCCAAAGGACUUUCACUAGUUAAAAAAUGAUGUCCAAUUAGCAACAAAGAAACCCAAUCAUGCAUCCAAAAAGGCCAUAAAUAGCCACGCAUCCUGCCAAAAGGUUAAUAAUAUUAAUAGCACACAAACCAUAAAUUAACAACUCGCACGCAGCCAGUAUAAGGAAAAAAAGAAUUACCCGAUCACAUCCAAUAUAACAAGACACUGAAAAACAGGGUAACCCAAAUAAUCAUCUAUGUAUCAGACAGCUUCUGUUCCUCAGUAGGAAAAGGCACACUCCCAAUGAUGGGACACUCACCAUUAGUACUCCAAAUGCCCAUCCAACAGCAAAACACCUCUCAUUACUGUAAUUGCCUAGGCAAGGUGGUGAUAAUAGUUUCAAAGCUGCUUAUGCAUAAAAGUCAAAAGUAACCCAGCAGCAGUGAUGGCAUUCAAAGAGAAUAAGACCCAACUCGAAUGCGCAUGUCAAGCAAGCAUAAGAUCUAUCAGACCAAAACAUGAAUGUCAGCAUUUUAGGAACCCAAAAACAGUUGAAUAUUUGCGCCAAGUUUAGCACUAAAUGAAACUGAUUGAUCCAGUAAGACAAGACACCAAUAAUAAUAACAUGUCCACAAUA